rnacentral:lncRNA from 10 species
GUUGUUUGCUUAUAUUUAUGAAUGAAGGACUAGAUAAAUUAUCAAAGGCUUCUCAGAAUUUCUUCUGCAACCAUGGAAGCCUGUUUCUCCACCAGUCCUCCCUUGAGUAAGUGAGUUGACUAUUACCUUUGCAUACCCAGGCAAGCUUUGGUGACAGGAACAUUUCAGCCUGCAGUACACAUGUGGGAAGCAGGAAGGAAGACUGGCUCCUCUCAUCUCCAUCCUUGACAGAAUGAGGAAGAUUCUGUAAAACUCUGCCACAAUGUGGAACGUUAAAGGAAAAUAAGACGUUGUCUCAGCACCAGGAUUCUUGUUCCUGAAGCUCUCAGCUUUUCUUAGCCAAGCAGCUUCUCAAUUCUGAGGGCACACUAAGCAGUGAGGACAUAGUUGUACAUUACCCUCCCCUGGCCUGUGAUGUAGACUCUAUUGCUGAGUCUAAGAAAAAAGAAGGUAUCUCCAAAAAUGUACCAAUACUUUACAGGUUGAGAAUGAGUCUGAUUUAUUUUACUUUUUUAUUUUAUUUUAUUUUAUUGAGAUGGAGUCUCGCUCUGUCACCCAUGCUGGAGUGCAGUGGUGCGAUCUCGGUUCACUGCAACCUCCACCUCCCAGGUUCAUGUGAUUCUCCUCCCUCAGCCUCCUGAGUACCUGGGAUUACAGGUGCCUGCCACCACGCCCAGCUAAUUUUUGUAUUUUUGGUAGAGACGGGGUUUCACCAUGUUGGUCAGGCUGGUCUCGAACUCCUGACUUCGUGAUCUGUCCGCCUUGCCUCCAAAAGUGCUGUGAUUACAGGCAUCAGCCACUGCGCCUGGCCAUAAGUCUGAUCUUUUUACAACACCCUGCAGUUCUUCACUUCUUUGACUGCUGCCCCAAUCUCAGCAUCAUGUGGAAAUAUGUAUACUGGACCGAAUGGAACAAGGGCUAUCCUUAUGGAGUGGACAGAAUGGGCUGGCGUCACCCUGCUUCAGGUAUACUGCUGAUCUUUGAGUUUCAUGAUCAAUAAGAACGUCACAAAUGCAAGAAAUGAUGUCUCUUGGACCACAGAGAAUAUCGUUAGCAGAAUUUGGCAUGGAGAAGGCAGAAUGGGAUUGGAAGUUCUCAGCUCUUUCCGUUGGAUACCGGUGGCUGCCAGCCUAACAAGGAGAGUCUCUUGGGAAUCAGCGAAAGCUCAAGGUUUGCAUGUGACCAGCUCAAUGACAGUGAACUGGGAAACCAUUGGCGAAGGCACCCAUGGGAUACGGCACCCUGCAGAGACGAAGGCAAAAAUGGAAACUGUCAUCGAUAUUACAGAGGUGCUGUCUGACAGCCCUGGUAUGUCAUCAUCAUCUGGGUGUCCCCACCGCUGAACACAGGGAUUUUAAACGUCUUCCAGAAUAGAAACAAGUGUCAUUUAUUCAUUCGGUGAAUAUUUAUGAGGCUCCUACUGUAUGCCAAGCAUCAUCCUAGGCACUUUGGAUUCCACUGGAGAACAAGAUAGACAAAGAUCUCUGCUCUUGUCGAAUUGACUUUCUGGUAAGGUAGAAACAGAAAACAAUCAAUAAACACAAUAAACAAGUAAAUCAUACAAUAUGUGAGAAGGUGAUAAGUGCUAAGGCAAAAAAAAAAAAAGAGGAAAAUAAAUAAAGGUGGAAAAGAGGACUUAGAAAUGUGAGAGCUUGAUUCCUUGGAGAUAGCAAUACAUAAGUAGGGUCUGAAGGGUAGAGCUUCCAUUUCUGAGAGCAUAACCUUCAGGCAAACCAUCAAGAUUUUAAAUUCAAUGGAAUGCGAAGUUAAAAUUUGACUGUAUUCACCUCCUAUGCCCAACCUCUGCAUCCGACCUCAGGGAAAUGCCAACUUCAUUCUCAUUGCAUAAACAAGCAAAGAAGAUAGAAUUCUAUUCAAUCUCAAGGGGGAUCUGCUCUGUUGCCUUCAUAUUUUUCUUAUAAGGCAACAGGCUUAUGUCAUUUGAAAGAAAUAGAAAUUUAGACAAUACACCACUGUAACAAUCACUGAGAUGGUAACUGCCCUUGGAGGAAAAAUGAAUGAGGACAAAAGCAGGGAUUCCACUUGGAGGUCAUGGGGCAGGUUUUCAUGUUUGUCAUAGGGCUGACUUUUCACACUGAGCCUCCAAAUAAAAGUGGAUUUGUAUUUAAGAGAAAGUAAAAAAAGUAAUGUUUCUUUCAGUGAAUCUUGCACACAUUCACACAAUAGUUAUAUGCAUAUAUGUAUGUAUGUGUAUAUAUAUAUUUUUUUUUUAAAUGGAGGGCACACCAAAAUUUUAUAAGAGAGUAAUGGUAGGGUAUAUACAUAUAUAUGUG